rnacentral:rRNA from 1 species
GACAGAGGUGCCAAGCGUUAGGCGGAAUCACUGGGCUUAAAGCGUGUGUAGGCGGAAUUGUAAGUACCUUGUGAAAUCCCACGGCUCAACCGUGGAACUGCUCGGUAUACUGCUUUUCUUGAGCCACUUAGGGGCUACCGGAACAAAUGGUGGAGCGGUGAAAUGCGUAGAUAUCGAGAGGAACACCGGUGGCGAAGGCGGCCUUCUGGACAGUGACUGACGCUGAGACGCGAAAGCGUGGGGAGCAAACAGG